CCUACGGGGGGCUGCAGUGAGGAAUAUUGGUCAAUGGCCGGAAGGCCGAACCAGCCAAGCCGCGUGAGGGAGGAAGGCGCAGAGCGUCGCAGACCUCUUUUGCCGGGGGACAAAAGGCCGGACUCGUCCGGUACUGAGGGUACCCGGAGAAAAAGCAUCGGCACACUCCGGGCCAGCAGCCGCGGUAAUACGGAGGAUGUGAGCGUUAUCCGGAUUCAUUGGGUAUAGAGGGUGCGCAGGCGGCCCUUUAAGCGGGCGGUGAAAUCGCGGGGCUCAACCCCGCCGAGCCGUGGGAACGGGGGGCUUUGAUGGCGGCGGAGGGAUGCGGAAUGCGCGGUGUAGCGGUGAAAUGCAUAGAUAUCGCGCAGAACCCGGAUGGGGAAGGCAGCGUGCAGUG
rnacentral:rRNA from 1 species